AGUGAACGCUGGCGGCAGGCCUAACACAUGCAAGUCGAGCGGCAGCGCGGGGGCAACCCUGGCGGCGAGCGGCGGACGGGUGAGGAAUUCGUAGGAAUCUGCCUUGUUGUGGGGGAUAACGUAGGGAAACUUACGCUAAUACCGCAUACGUCCUACGGGAGAAAGUGGGGGACCGUAAGGCCUCACGCAGAAAGAUGAGCCGACGACGGAUUAGCUAGUUGGUGGGGUAAAGGCCCACCAAGGCGACGAUCGGUAGCUGGUCUGAGAGGAUGAUCAGCCACACUGGAACUGAGACACGGUCCAGACUCCUACGGGAGGCAGCAGUGGGGAAUAUUGGACAAUGGGCGAAAGCCUGAUCCAGCCAUGCCGCGUGUGUGAAGAAGGCCUUCGGAUUGUAAAGCACUUUUAGCCGGGAAGAAGGCCCGUGAGCUAAUACCUUCGGGUGUUGACGUUACCAAAAGAAUAAGCACCGGCUAACUUCGUG
rnacentral:rRNA from 1 species